rnacentral:siRNA from 1 species
GGUGCUGGGUUCGAGGUAUAUUGA